rnacentral:sRNA from 1 species
UGAGACAGGGUUUUUCUGUGUAGCCUUGGAUGUCCUAGACUUGCUUUGUAGACCAGGCUGGCCUCGAACUCACAGAGAUCCGCCUGCCUCUGCCUCCCUGAGGGCUAUGAUCACGGGUUUGCGCCACCACACCCAGC